rnacentral:snoRNA from 1 species
UUGUUCUGCAGUGAUGAUAAAUAUUCUAAUCCCAGCUCUAUGAGACUUCCCUUUGUGGGUUGUCUGGGAUCAUAAAGUUUCCUUGUAUCUGAGCAAAGC